GCCCCGCAGCCCAGCACAGCCUAGCGCGGUGCUCGCUGGAGGCUCCAUCCCUAGUGCCGUGUAGGCAUCGGCCAAGCGCAAGAACCACUGUCCCUGUCCUGGCCCUGGCUAUGCACAGCAGGAUAGUGCCAGGACUGUGCCAGGACGGUGCCAAGACGGUGCCACCAUUGUUCCAGGAUGGUGCCAAGGCUCUCCCAGGCCGCGAGAUGAUGAUGCUGCAGCCACUGUGGCCCCUCUGGAUUGGAUGGACUCCAGCUGCAGGUGGAAAGGGCAGGAGUGAAACACAUUUAACUGUGGAAAUGGGAUGAAACACCAGGAGAAGACAGAGAAGAAAGGAAAGGGAGACUGAAGGAGUAAGGAAGGCUCUGUGCCACCAGGGGAUGGCUGAAGGCCUUGGAUGGACACCAACUGCAGUUGGGCUGGUGGCACCACUAGUAAAAUGAGCCAGUGGCCACUAUGACCACCCUCCAUCCCCACCAUGCACCAUCAGCCCAAGGCAAUGCCACUCCAUCCCUGUCUCUGUCCCAUUUCCAUCAAGAAAACCAGAUUAAACAUUUUUAUUUGGU